GUCUUCUCCCCUGGCUUCUUUCCUUAGCUUGUCUGGCAGUUCUCUAAAAGUCAAAAAAUAUACAAGUGUAUACUUGUUAGGAAAAAAGUGGUGGCUUCAGAAACUCAAAAGUUUUGUGCAUUUUGUUAUUCUGGAAAAAUCUACAUUAUCAACACACCCACUAGCAGAGGAUCGCAGUAGCUCUGGUAAGUGCCCUGAGGUCCUGGGUUCACUUAGGAUCAGAUGCCUUGCCCCCCAGUGAGUGUGGAUCUCUCCUUUCUGGACUACAGGAGGCCCUGAUUCUCCUCACCCAAGUGAGGCCACACAGAAGGCGCCUGUCUUGCAGUUUCUCAUAGUGCAGUCAUGCAAGGCCCUCCUGCUUCCUGUUCUGGGGACUCAGAAGCCACUCCCAAAACGAGGUGGCGGUGACAAUUUCCUGUCCUAGAAUGAAAUACAAGGGAAGUAGCUUCUCUUCUGUCUGUGACUAAGAACUUACAUAGGCCUCAAAACGUUUCAAAGACGAAAACUCAGGUGAUGAAAGAAUUAAUGCAUCUUGGAUCCCAGACUCCUCCAUCCCGCCCUCCACCUGGUUCUCCACCUGAUGUCCCAGGAUGAAGUCAAACAGAAGGGUCCUGUGACCUGGAGUCCUUUGUGAUCAGACGAACAUGGCCCCCCUCAUUCUUCACCUUGUCCAGUGAGGCUAUAGCAACAUCUUCUUUGGUGAUGUAUCUAAAACAAUUUUACGGUAGUUCUUUAAGUGACCAUCCACGUCUGAUGGGGAGGAAACAACACGGCCUGUCCAGAAAUGGCUGGAGAGGGUUAUAAAUUCAGUUAAGAAGGAAACUAUGGUCAUGUAAAGAGAAGACCAAUACUUCAACAAAGAUGGUGGCUGUGACAUUGCGAAAAUGGAAAGGACCACAAGAGUUCUUAGAAGAUUAAGAGGCAUCAUGCUUUUUGUUACCCAUGAGUGGGUAUCAGUA